GGGGGCGAUUUGGGUUCGACGGGGGUAAUUGAUCUCGGUGCUGCAUGUCGGGGAGCCUCACCUACCCGUUAAUCAUGGUGGGAAUAAAGAUAAUCGCAGACAACUACGAUUACGCCCUGGCCGCGUAAUAUCGGCCAGCGUCCGCUGUUUCCGUUCCCACCGGGGGCAGUCUGGGCGUUACAAUGUGGGAUAAGCCGAUCCCGAUGCCUGUAGGGAUUGGACGAAAACCAUACAGGCGCCCGUUUCGGCACUCCCUUUCGCCGGGGAGUCGAAACGUGGUAUUAAACGGCGAAUAAGCAUGUAGACGCCCCGGGUGAAGAUCUUCGGACGCGGGUUCGAUUCCCGCCGCCUCCACCA
rnacentral:tmRNA from 1 species